CAGCCGCCGCGGGAAUACAGAGGGUGCGAGCGUUAAUCGGAUUUACUGGGCGUAAAGCGUGCGCAGGCGGUUCGUUAAGACAGAUGUGAAAUCCCCGGGCUUAACCUGGGAACUGCAUUUGUGACUGACGGGCUAGAGUAUGGCAGAGGGGGGUAGAAUUCCACGUGUAGCAGUGAAAUGCGUAGAGAUGUGGAGGAAUACCGAUGGCGAAGGCAGCCCCCUGGGCCAAUACUGACGCUCAUGCACGAAAGCGUGGGGAGCAAACAGGAUUAGAUACCCCCGUAGUCCCUGUCUCUUAUAC
rnacentral:rRNA from 1 species